UUCCCACAAGUUGCAUCAGGCCUCCACCAGCAGUAUUUCUCAGAAUGUGUGCUCUUUUUGCAAUGUACGCAGGGAGGUAAAUUUUUUUGUUUUGAACCUUUACUGUUGCCACCACCAUCACUUUUGCCUUUUUUCUUUUGAUUGAAUUGCUUCUUCCUCUUACCAACUUGUUUUUACACAUCAAAAGCACCUUUAGUUAAUUUGUCAUACCUAAUAGUCCUUCUUUGCUCUUGUGCUUGAAGAGCACUCAUUAGUUUACUUAAUGAGAU
rnacentral:lncRNA from 1 species